AGAGUUUGAUCAUGGCUCAGGAUUAACGCUGGCGGCGUGCAUGAGACAUGCAAGUCGAACGAACGACCUCGGGCUUGCCUGGGGAAGUUAGUGGCGAACGGCUGAGUAACGCGUGGGUGACCUGCCCAGAAGUGGGGAAUAACUGCCCGAAAGGGUGGCUAAUACCGCAUGUGGUCCUCCGUUCACUCGGAUGACCAAAGCCUUCGGGCGCUUCUGGAGGGGCCUGCGUUCGAUUAGCUCGUUGGUGGGGUAACGGCUCACCAAGGCGACGAUCGAUAGGUGGUCUGAGAGGAUGAUCACCCAGACUGGGACUGAGACACGGCCCAGACUUCUACGGAAGGCAGCAGUCGGGAAUUUUGCUCAAUGGGGGAAACCCUGAAGCAGCAACGCCGCGUGAGGGAUGAAGGCCUUCGGGUUGUAAACCUCUUUUCUCAGGGACGAUGAUGACGGUACCUGAGGAAUAAGCCACGGCUAACUACGUGCCAGCAGCCGCGGUAAUACGUAGGUGGCAAGCGUUGUCCGGAAUUACUGGGCGUAAAGAGCGCGCAGGCGGCCGAGUAAGUCGAAUGUGAAAGCCCCCGGCUCAACUGGGGAUCGUCAUUCGAUACUGCCCGGCUUGAAGAUAGGAGAGGGAAGCGGAAUUUCAGGUGUAGUGGUGAAAUGCGUAGAUAUCUGAAGGAACACCAGUGGCGAAGGCGGCUUUCUGGCCUAUUCUUGACGCUGAGGCGCGAAAGCUAGGGGAGCGAACGGGAUUAGAUACCCCGGUAGUCCUAGCUGUAAACGAUGAACACUAGAUGUUGGUGGUAUCAACCCCGCCAGUGUCGUAGCUAACGCAUUAAGUGUUCCGCCUGGGGAGUACGGCCGCAAGGCUAAAACUCAAAGGAAUUGACGGGGGCCCGCACAAGCAGCGGAGCGUGGGGUUUAAUUCGACGCAACGCGAAGAACCUUACCAGGGCUUGACAUGACCAGGAAUCCGGCGGAAACGUCGGCGCCUCGCAAGAGGCCUGGCCACAGGUGUUGCAUGGCUGUCGUC
rnacentral:rRNA from 1 species